GUUUCUUCGGAGUCAUCCGAUAAAAAUAGAACGAUUAAGAGAAGAUUAGUGUGACCCCUGCCCAAGGAUGACACACACAAAUUGAGAAAUGAUCCGUUGUU